UACGUAGGGUGCGAGCGUUGUCCGGAAUUAUUGGGCGUAAAGAGCUCGUAGGCGGUUUGUCGCGUCGACUGUGAAAACCUACAGCUUAACUGUGGGCUUGCAGUCGAUACGGGCAGACUUGAGUUCGGUAGGGGAGACUGGAAUUCCUGGUGUAGCGGUGGAAUGCGCAGAUAUCGGGAGGAACACCGGUGGCGAAGGCGGGUCUCUGGGCCGUUACUGACGCUGAGGAGCGAAAGCGUGGGGAGCGAACAGG
rnacentral:rRNA from 1 species